UCCUUGGUAACGCAGCUAACGCGUGAAGUAGACCGCCUGGGGAGUACGGUCGCAAGAUUAAAACUCAAAGGAAUUGACGGGGACCCGCACAAGCGGUGGAUGAUGUGGAUUAAUUCGAUGCAACGCGAAAAACCUUACCUACGCUUGACAUGUCCGGAACCCUGAAGAGAUUUGGGGGUGCUCGAAAGAGAGCCGGAACACAGGUGCUGCAUGGCUGUCGUCAGCUCGUGUCGUGANANNNNNNNNNNNNNNUCCCGCAACGAGCGCAACCCUUAUCAUUAGUUGCUACGCAAGGGCACUCUAAUGAGACUGCCGGUGACAAACCGGAGGAAGGUGGGGAUGACGUCAAGUCCUCAUGGCCCUUAUGUGUAGGGCUUCACACGUCAUACAAUGGUCGGUACAGAGGGUUGCGAAGCCGCGAGGUGGAGCCAAUCCCAAAAAACCGAUCGUAGUCCGGAUUGCAGUCUGCAACUCGACUGCAUGAAGUCGGAAUCGCUAGUAAUCGCGGAUCAGCAUGCCGCGGUGAAUACGUUCCCGGNU
rnacentral:rRNA from 1 species